rnacentral:lncRNA from 1 species
UCCUUCCUCUCCUGGUGUAGGGAACUAUCUUUUGAGUGCGGCAAGUUGUAGCGGGCACCGCUGUUUUCCUUUGGGCACUUCUAUCUAGAAGCUGAGUUAGUUUCUUCCAAAAUGAGCCACUUCGUCCCCCUGGCCCGUCCUCCUGAAUAAGGAAGCAACCGCCAAGCAUCAGCGGAGCCCUGAUGAGCCUGGGCUGUGAAGUCGCUUAGCUGUCUCCCGGGACCCAGCUCCGGAGGAGCCGCAAGCAUGCACCCUGGGUUGUGGCUGCUCCUGGUUACGUUGUGCCUGACUGAGGAACUGGCAGGAGCCGCACUUUCCAGCCUUAAAGCUUAAAGAUUCCUCACCUGCUUCUAGUGACUGGCCCUAG